rnacentral:lncRNA from 1 species
CCACUGUUUAACAUAUUCGAUCAACAACCAUACCAUUAUCACAAAUAAACUAUUAAACAAUUUAAAAGGCUACUACAUACCAACCCUAAACAAUUAAUUUAGGCAAAUUUUUAGAAUAUAUUAAAAAUUAGAAAACACAAAAUGAAAUCGGAUCAUUUCCCUAACAUUUUUUCUUUCCCUUUGGCCUUUGAACUCUCGACCAACUCUGUAUCUUCAAUUUAACAAUCAAAACAAUAAAUCAAGUUAGGAUAAUAAGAAUAAGCAAUCAAAACUUUUAAAUCAUAUCAAUGAAGGGCAAACCGACUUCUCUUUUUUUUUUUUUAAAUCUAUUCUCUCCUAAAUUAAAGUCUAAUAAUUUUGAUUAUAACCUAUAACUUAGAAACAUUCAAUCACCCACCGAAGUAAAAUCAACCAAGAAACUAAAAAUCUCAACUCUCAUUCUCUUUUUAGAAUCUAACUCAAACCUUCCAAGAACUCGUUCUAAUCUUUGCUGAAUCUGAACUUUAUUGAUUUGAUGUUGUUCUAUACUUUAAAACACUCAAAUCCCUACCCAAAAACAUCAAGAAAACUCAAAACUUGAGAUUGAUGUGAAUGGAAGAAAAUGAAGGAAAAUGAUGAAAAAUCUUGAAUUAAAAUUCUUAAUUGAAGAAGAAAUCAACUGAAAAUGUACAUACCAAACUUAUCUUGACGGAAUUGGAUCAAGAUUCGAAAGAGAAUUGAAGAAUGGAUUGAGAGAGUUUGAAAGAA